GUGAUACACUCAAAAUAAUUCAAACGUCAUUGGUACGUGAAAAAUCACGUACAUCAUUGCGAAUUCAUUUUGCCUCCUAUUCACCUGACUAAGGUAAUAGUUACUAGAGCAUGUAUAAUCACCAAAUGGAGUCCCGGUGAGUGUUACUGUGGCUAUCAAUCGCAAUUACGUGGAAAUCACGUAGGCCGACUUGGUUCAUUUGGAGAUCUGCAUUUCGUGUUCAUUCUCACUUGAGUUCAAAUUUAAAGAUGGUGGCCGCAAGUUUUGCCAGGAGCUGCUGGACUUCUAAAUAAUUGUUAUCAAGCUUAUGUCACGUUGAAUAGCAAGGCCGACGAACAUUGGGGAGGAAAUAUACAUUUUUAUUGAAAGGAGCCCUGGACAGACUUGAACGAAAGUGGAAUGCCGCCGUGUCAGCCAGUGAUUUUAUAAAGGAACAUUGAAAAAUGACUUCCAUCGUGUGAGGGAGGAGGAUUAGGUCUACGAAAAAGUAACAAUGCAUGCAUUGGGUUUUGAAAAAAAAGUGACGGAAAGGCGAGAGAAGGUCUAGAAAUUCCAAAAAAGCUGGAUAUGUAAUUGGAAAUAAAUAUUGAAUAUAAUAAGUAAUUUAA